GGAGCGGUUGGUAGGCUUGGUGUUGUGGCGGCGGGAGGGUUGGCGUGCCUGUCGGGUGUGCGCCGGACGGAUCAGUUUGUAACGAUGGAGUGUGGGAGGAACUACGCGAGCGGUUUCCUCAAAUAUCUUUCGGAUUUCGUGGCCAACAUACGUCCCGAUGACCCUUUACCCGUGCGUGCCCCGAGUUACAAAGUGACGGAGAGCGAAAUAGACGGUCAGAUCCUGGAUAUCGUUCACCAUUACUUAAAUAGCAGGUACGUCUGGCUUUUGCCGAACUAAAGGUAAGGGAAAUGAAAAAAAAAAAAAAAGAAAGGCAGACAAGUGGAUACCGAAGAGAUAAUGUGUACCCUUUGCGUAUGGUGCCUUAGUGCAAGAUGGUACCGGGGUAUGAUGGUGUUGCACUGCCGUAUUACUGCAUUUUGACAUACUUUUUCCAUUUCAUAGAAACUUCAGUUUACCUUAUACCCUACAAUAUAUAUGUGUAUAUAUAAUCUUACAUGUAUAUAUAUGUUAUUUAUAUGUGUAUGCACA